CUAGGAUGAACGCUAGCGACAGGCUAACACAUGCAAGUCGAGGGGCAGCAUAAAAGUAGCAAUACUUGGUGGCGACCGGCGCACGGGUGAGUAACGCGUAUGCAACCUACCUAUCAGAGGGAAUAACCCGGCGAAAGUCGGACUAAUACCGCAUAAAACAGGGGCACCGCAUGGUGAUAUUUGUUAAAGAAAUUCGCUGAUAGAUGGGCAUGCGUUCCAUUAGGUAGUUGGUGAGGUAACGGCUCACCAAGCCGACGAUGGAUAGGGGAACUGAGAGGUUGGUCCCCCACACUGGUACUGAGACACGGACCAGACUCCUACGGGAGGCAGCAGUGAGGAAUAUUGGUCAAUGGGCGGGAGCCUGAACCAGCCAAGUCGCGUGAAGGAAGAAAAGGAUCUAUGGUUCGUAAACUUCUUUUGCAGGGGAAUAGAGUGCAGGACGUGUCCUGUUUUGUAUGUACCCUGAGAAUAAGGAUCGGCUAACUCCGUGCCAGCAGCAGC
rnacentral:rRNA from 1 species